UAGAAAAAAAAAAAAAUCUGUGUAAAACAACAAAAAAUGUUUUGUUGGAGGGCUCCUGCUUAGACAACAUAUUGACAAUGAAAAAAUACUGUCCUUGUGCAAGCAUUUGCAAAGCGUUUUUAAGGACAACUUUAAUAUUACAUUAAAUAAAGCAGCAUGAAAACUCUUUGCUAUAGUAUUUUUUAAUAGCAGAAUUUGCUAUAAUUUUUAGACAGUCAGGUUUCCUGAAUUCCAAAAAGGACAUGAAUUUUUUCAACCUAGCCUUUGUGAGGCUCAGGACUGCCACAAAACACAAGCCAUUAAGAUAGCAGUUCUCAACAAGUGCCAGAAAUAACAGUUCACUUUCUCACAACAAAAGAUGCUGAAGUACUAGCAACAUUUUCUAAGAUCUUUUAAAAUACCUUAAAAAUAAAUCUAUAUAUUUAUUUACGUCCAGUAUAGUAUAAAAAUCAUGGGCAUCUUCCCUUACAUUUUUAGAAAUAGUAGCAUUUCAGGAUGCCAUGACUAAGACACACUGAUGCUGUCAGAAGUUAUUAUUUGAGUGGCUUAAAGAUGUCAAAAACUAUCUCCUAACUGAUGGGAAAGGAAUUCAAUAAUAGACAAUUUCAAGACAAAAAAAAAUGACCACCUCGGCCUUAAAUAAGAAAAUGUUGUUAAAUUGGAAAACCUCAAUUAAAUUAGAAGCUUAUGGCUUAGUGAUGAGCUGGGCUACAAACAAAUGCUUUUUUUAAGGAGAGAGCUUUUAGUAAUACUCAUUUACCAUAUAAGAAAUGACACAAAGCAGAACUUUGUUAAGGUUUAUUUUACAUAAUGGCAAUUUACCCAUGGGAGCAGUGCUUAUAUGCAAAUUGUAUCCCCAAGUGAGAGCUGCUCUCCUUGAUGGGACAUCGAUUCUUCCAGAGAUGGCAGGCAGCAGCUGUGUCACUGUCCUCAGAGGGACAAAAGAUAUAUAUUAUCCAGGUUUUGUAGCAGCCUGGCCACUAACUCAGAACAUCUCGCAGCCCAGGGACCACCAUCCCUCCUAGAAUGGCUUGUGCCCAUUAGAAGUGAAGAUUGGAAAUGCAGUCAGUGGUCUCAGGAUCCAAGAUUUAUAAAUCUCAUUACUGCAUCUGUCCACAGAUCUGGAUGUCAGACCUUUAUCUUUCUUCCUGUUCCUCUAGACCACUUCAGUUUCAUAAUAUUCUUUAGUCUAUCAAUCUUAUUUGAGGAAAAUAAUAGAAGUUAAUCUCUUAGUUUCCAAAAACUCACCUUAGCCUCACAAACAACUAGUAUCUUACACUUCUCUCAUUGAAACUACCACUUGUAUUGAAAGGAUGUUAGUAUUAAAUUAUAACAACGCUCCUAGGGAGGUACAUGCAUUUAUUUGAGCACCCAAAAUGUUCAACAUGAUUAAUGUGAUUGCAACCAAUGACAAGGUAAUUUAAAAUGAUUACUAAAAAUAUCACCCUCACACGUUAUUUUUAGAGUAUCUCCAGCAGUAACAAAACAGCACAGAGCUGGGCACAACUUUCACAAACAGUGUAAGAUGUGAAAUCUAAGAAGAAUAAAUUAAGUUACUGGCAUCUGUCUGUCUAGAAAUAGAAUCAUCUUUAAGAGUGCUCUCUAGAGAGAAGGAAAACACACACUUUUGAAAAUGAGUCAAUAUUUUCAAAAAAGCCACGGAUUCUGAGCAUGUCAUAUUGCUGUUACCCAGCUUGGACACGUGAAUGCUGGGUGUUUCCUUAAGGUCCUCCCCACAGGCAGUUAGUUUCAAGUCCUUUGUCAACACAUUUUCUCUCACAUUUAAAUUGGCUUCAUUUAUUUGUAGGUCCCAGGCUCUGGACCUCAUCCAUUUCCCUCCCUACUUAGUAUCUGCCCAACACUGAAAGAAAAAAAAAAAAAAAAAAAAAAAAAAAAGUGUUGGUUUUAACCCUCAAUGUCUCCUAAAUGUUGAGUGUAGAGGAACAACCUUUAUUUUACACAAGAAAACUCUCUAUUAAAUGAUGCUUAGCAAGACCUGUAAAAUAGCCUAGGUUGUUAAAGUUAAGCUACUUGGAGAUCAGAGAACGAAAGUAUAUAUAUCAGCUUCAGUGAAGCCAUACACUCACCAAAUCUUGAUUGUAUAACUUUUCUUACUUUUCAUUAAAAUUCUCAGAUGUAUUAUUCCUGGACAAAGGAGGAUAGAUCUCAAAGAGUCUCAGGAAAAUCCAAUACUCUUUUCUCCUUUUCCAAGGGAAGUAAUAUUUCCAUAGAGAAGCACAUUAUCAAGGUGUUAAGGCCAGCAAUUUACUUACUUCCAGAAGAUGUGGUAGUAUAAAGUUAUAAAAUAUAUCAUGGCCAAAAGGUAAAGGCCACAUUUCAUGAUGUUUUCAAAGAACAUAUUUCUUUUUAACUAAGUUCUUAAGUUCCCUGUGCAUGCAUUACUGCUUCUAUUAACAAAAUUCAUUUAUUUGUGUAGGCAAUGAGCUUUUCAGCUGUCUACUUGUUUUAUUUGCUUGGUAGAAUUUUGUCAUGAAAAUUAAAGUUACAUUCUGGUAGCAGCACAUUCCAGCAGCUUGGCUCACUUCUUCCCUCACACACUUCUUGCAGGUUCCUGCUCAGGAAAGCAUGAGUAUGGUAAACCCUAUUGGACUCAGUAGGCUUCAAAAACAAGCUUAAAUUAAAGCACGUGUACAAGUGUUGACCUAAAAAGAGAUGGAUGUAUGCACCUUUUAAAUUUUAAAGAGUGUAGGGGCCACUGUUAUUUACAUCUUUUGCAUUAUUUUGUCUUACACCUCGUAUUGCUGCCUGCUGCAGAAAUUCCUGUGUAGUGGCACAGGAAUUGUGCCACUUGUGGCUGGUGGGAGUCUGCACAAGUCUGAAGAUAAGUUGGUAAGCUCAAGUUCAUUAAAAAGCUCUGAGUAAAGCCUCAAUCUUGCUAAAGAGCAGGUGAAUUUUACUGUUAUCUUUAUAUGAUAUUAUUAUGUCUUUAUAUCACUCUAAAUGCAAGUCACUCAUGACUAAGGACAGCAUCUGGAUGCUGUUCUGCAGCAGACAUUAAUGAAACCAUGUUAUUUCAUAAAGAUUGUCCUAUUUUCACUGUCUGAUUGAAGCUGUUUUUUGUCAUUGAUAAGGGCUGUCAAGCCUUGUAGAACUGUAUAAUUAGAAACCCAGAGAACCAUUGAAAAUCAAUAUGGUCCAACUGAAGUGAUUCUACAAAUGUUCAGAAUGUAAUGGACUGCAAUAAAUCGUUCAAAAUUCCAUACAUUUGGUUAGAAAAAAAAAAAGUAAAAAAAAAAAAAAAGUGUGUAAAUAUGCUUAGUAUUAACUUCUGUAGAACUUUACCUUUAGGUGCAUAGUUUGUCAUAUCUGUGGAAUGAUUUAACUGAUAUCUAUUAAUAUCAAUAGGAUAUUGAGAAAAGCAGGAUAACCCAUUAUUUUGAUUAAUCAGAACAGGCAAUGUUUGCUUAUCUCCUAUCUACAUGACUCUACACAACUGUUAGCCUGUUUUCAAGACAGAAUCACAUCUAGGAAACUUAUUCUAACAACUUUCUCCAUCUUCAGGCAAACAUCUUUUGUGCAUCCAGCUGAGGAACGUGGCCAGGCACUGGGAAACUCUACAAGAGUUUCUACAAGGGGAUUCUUUUCCAUCAAACUCCAGUUCAUUUUAUCUGCCUCCACACUCCCUUCUUCCAUAGGAGCAGGAUAUUUGGCAGUUCACAGUGAUGCAUAGGGUUCCCCAUCCUGUUUUCUGUCCUCUGCAAUGGAGGCUGUGACUGUUCGAUAUGUGUGUUGUUAGUGUUUUGGGGUUAUUGUUUGUUUGUUUACAGUGAAUGGUACUGUACAGUUUAUGUUUUAUCUAAAAUAAUACAGUGGCUAUGUGGCAGAGGAUAAAGCACCAGAAGGUGAGGAAGAAAGAGAAAGAGAAAAAAGAAAGAGAAAA